UCGCCCUCGCUCUCUUGCUCUCGCUCUCUCCUACCGCCGGCGGAACCAAAAGGAAGCCCUCCGUCCAGCGCUGGCCGCGGCGGCGGCGGCGGCGCAGCAGCCCGCGCCUUCUCGCCUCCUGCACUCCAAGAUUCGUGCUCCCGAUGACGGCCAUGGACCUGGGCUACAUUGCUAGCGCUGCCGACAUCGUUUCGAUUCGUUCCGAUCUGUCCGUGGCGUUUUCGUAUGUCUUUGCCUGGUGAUGAUGGUGUCCAUUUCUUGGGGAUGUUGCUUGAUCCGUGUUGGUGAGUGUAGGUAGAAACGGACGUGAAUCUGAAAUGUUCAAGAUGUUGGUUGGGACCUUGAUGAUAUGAAAUUGGAGAUCUGUUGGCCGGUGGGAUGUUAUUUUGUCACCUUACUCAUAUUUGGUACAAAAUUGAUGUUGUGGGUGUGGGCUGGCACCAACCAUGGCAUGGCUAGCUUUGGUUGGAAUGCCAAUGCCAAGUCAAACUGCUUCUACGGUUUCUGCUACCCGGUUUGCCAGCUCUUACCACUUGGCUUGCUGUUCAUGCAUGUCUGUGAUAUUGCUAUAUGCACUCCCACUUGGCUUGCUGUUCAUGCAUGUCUGUGAUAUUGCUAUAUGCACUGAGGCACUAAAUUUAUGCAGAGGACAGAGAUAUUUAUAUCUUA